UUUUGGACAAUGGGCGCAAGCCUGAUCCAGCAAUGCCGCGUGAGUGAAGAAGGCCUUCGGGUUGUAAAGCUCUUUUGUCAGGGAAGAAACGGUGAGCUCUAAUACAGUUUGCUAAUGACGGUACCUGAAGAAUAAGCACCGGCUAACUACGUGCCAGCAGCCGCGGUAAUACGUAGGGUGCAAGCGUUAAUCGGAAUUACUGGGCGUAAAGCGUGCGCAGGCGGUUAUGUAAGUCAGAUGGGAAAUCCCCGGGCUCAACCUGGGAAUGGCAUUUGAGACUGCAUGGCUAGAGUGUGUCAGAGGGGGGUAGAAUUCCACGUGUAGCAGUGAAUGCGUAGAGAUGUGGAGGAAUACCGAUGGCGAAGGCAGCCCCCUGGGAUAACACUGACGCUCAUGCACGAAA
rnacentral:rRNA from 1 species